UACAUGUUGUAAAAAUUACCUCAAUCUCCACUCCUCCUCCAUGGCUUGCUAAAAAUAAUUUCGUCAGCUGGGAUGAAAUGACUCGACGCAAUUUUGAGGAUUAUCUCUGUUUCCCAGAAUGCCAGGCCAUGGGUCACAUGAAAAAACCUGCCACAAUUUGCAUCAGGAUUCACAUAGCAGGCUACCCACGACUCUUGCCUCUGACACUGAUUUAUGUUGAAUUUCUUUCCAUUUUGAAAAACAAAAGGAAACGCGGCAAAGUUCUAGAGACAUUCCAGAUAUCUGCUUUUUAUGAUAAGUUGCCUUCUGAAGGUCGGGAGAGCCCUUGUCGUCACCAUCUUCUUUUUUUUCCAAGAGAAAUGCUGAGGAGCAGGUGCAGCUCUCUCAGCGUGGACUCUGCAAUGUUUCCACACAGUGCGUCCAGAAAAGGCAUGCCUUCAGGGUAGAACAAAAUUAUCAGCGUUCCCCCAUGAGGGUCCGGCACCCCGAGAGGCUACCGUCAACUACAAAGCAGUUAGCUGCAUGGCCGCGCACGGGCAGUAAAUGCUUCUUUCAAUUGUGGCAACUGCCACUC
rnacentral:lncRNA from 11 species